CACCGGCGGCUCGAGUGGUGGCCACUUUUAUUGGGUCUAAAGCGUCCGUAGCCGGCUUGGCAAGUCCCCUGGGAAAUCUGGCGGCUUAACCGUCAGGCGUCCAGAGGAUACUGCCAGGCUUGGGACCGGGAGAGGUGAGAGGUACCUCAGGGGUAGGGGUGAAAUCUUGUGAUCCCUGAGGGACCACCAGUGACGAAGGCGUCUCACUAGAACGGGUCCGACGGUCAGGGACGAAAGCUGGGGGCACGAACCGG
rnacentral:rRNA from 1 species